UUGAAUAUUUCAAGAUGGGUUGUCGCUGGCCCUUUGUGGCAUGUGCACGCUCGUCUUGGCUCUAUUCAUCCACCUGUGCACCAUCUGUAGUCUUUAUUUUGAGGUCAAUGGAGAAAUGGCUUCUUUAGCCAUGGAACCAUUCUCAAAGACUAUGUCUUUUAAUCAUUAAACCAUGUAGUCUGACAUUGAAUGUGUAUAUUCACUGAGCCCUUGUGGCCAAUGAAACUUCUAUA
rnacentral:misc_RNA from 1 species